rnacentral:rRNA from 1 species
GACGAACGCUGGCGGCGUGCUUAACACAUGCAAGUCGAACGGAAAGGCCCUGCUUUUUUCGGGUUCUCGAGUGGCGAACGGGUGAGUAACCCGUGAGUAACCCGCCCUUGUCUUUGGGAUAACCUCAGGAAAAUGGGGCUAAUACCGGCUUGGAGCUUCUGCAGCCUGGUGGGCGUUGGAAAGUUUCGGAGGUUUGGGAUGGACUCGCGGCUUACGAGCUUGUUGGUGGGGUAGUGGCUUACCAAGGCUUUGACGGGUAGCCGGACUGAGAGGGUGACCGGCCACAAUGGGACUGAGGUACGGCCCAGAGGGCAACGUGAGGCAGCGGUGGAAAAUAUUACACAAUGAGCGGAAGCCUGAUACAACAACGCCGGGUGCGGAAAGACGGCUGUCGGGGGAGAAACCGCUUUCGCCUGAGACGAAGCUUGAGUGACGGUAAUUAGUGAAGAAGCAACGGCUAACUACGUG